rnacentral:rRNA from 1 species
GAUGAACGCUGGCGGCGUGCCUAAUACAUGCAAGUCGAGCGGACGGACGAGAAUUGCUCUUCUCUUAUGUUAGCGACGGACGGGUGAGUAAUACGUAGCUAACCUAUCUAUAAGACUGACGUAAGUUCACGGACCCGGAGCCAGUAUCGGAUAAUAUUUUGAACCGCAUGGUUCAACAGUGAAAGACGUUCUUGCUGUCACUUAUAGAUGGAUCCGCGCUGCAUUAGCUAGUUGGUAAGGUAACGGCAUACCAAGGCUACGAUGCAUAGCCGACCUGAGAGGGUGAUCAGCCACACUGGAACUGAGACACGGUCCAGACUCCUACGGGAGGCAGCAGUAGGGAAUCUUGCGCAAUGGGCGAAAGCCUGACGCAGCAACGCCGCGUGAGUGAUGAAGGUCUUCGGAUCGUAAAGCUCUGUUAUUAGGGAAGAAGAGAAGUGUAAGUAUCUGUGCACAUCUUGACGGUACCUACAGAAAAAGCCCCGGCUAACUACGUG